CCUGGCGCGGUCUUCAGUCUCAGAAGAGCCUCUGAACACACGUGAAAGGGAGGACGCGGGAGAGAAAUGUAACCUGCUGCGUACUCGGAGGGAACGAGCGUGGGGUAGUGGUAAUGCUGUACCUUCUCCCUACGAUCCGAAUUUGUCCCGGUGGCAUUCACGCUUUGAUUGUAGCUGGGCCGCCAACAGGUCGACCAGAUGGCCAGACAACUUUGGUACUUUAUAAUUUACUGUAGUAGGUUUUAGUGGAAAGAAGAUAAUGAUAACCCACUCCAGUACUCUGGCCUGGAAAAUCCCAUGGACGGAGGAGGCUGGUAGGCUGCAGUCCGGGGAUCUCUGAGAGUCGGACAUGACUGACUUGACUUUCAUGUAUUGGAGAAGGAAAUGGCAACCCAUUCCAGUGUUCUUGCCUGGAGAAUCCCGGGGACGGGCGAGCCUGGUGGGCUGCCAUCUAUGGGUUCGCACAGAGUCGGACACAACUGAAGCGACUUAGGAGCAGCAGCAGGUUUUAGUAGAUCAAAUUAUACCCCUUACAGACACUCCCUCUCUCCUGGGCAUCAGGCUCCCUGGUUCAGAUCAUCCAUGACCCAUUUCUCUACACUCAAGGAGUUAUCUGGCCACGUUGGCUCCAGCUCUAAUGGAGUGAGUUGAGCAGUGAUGGACCCAGAGAAGAGUGGAGAAAACAGGGCAUGAAGGAGAAAUAUAUUUUCGUGUUUGCUUAUAAGGAACUCUAGAAGGAUCUGUAAGAAACAAAAUACUACCUGUGGAGGCAGAUGGCCCUGGACACACAGGCUAAAUGAGAGAAGGAACAGAUUAAGGCAAAGUGUAUUUUCAGUAUCUUGAAUCAUGUACCUGUAUUAUAAC
ensembl:lncRNA